GUCGAAGCCAGCGCCGGUCUCCUCGCGUAGUGGGCUCACAGCACGUGGCCCACGCACCACUUUGUGUUGCCCUUAUCUUAUCCACGGGACGCCCUCCUCCACUCAUUUUUCUAACCCAAACACAAUCUAUUUUCCUCUUUCUCUGUGCUUCCUCCAAAUGACACAAAUCCAUGGCUAAACAAAUCACGCACAGCUUGCACCUCCGGCAAGAGCAGCAUCUACUGGCCGCGGACACGCGCAGCUCGCGCUCUGCCCCAGUAGCAGGCCGCGUGCAGCUCUGGCAAGGGCACCAUCUACUCGCCGCGGCCUUCCCUAGCAGAUGGCUUGCUACAGACGAAGAUCUGCACGCCCCGCUCCGCUUGUAGGAGUGGGCAACCACCAACAGAAGAUGAUGCAACCUCGGCUCGGCGGAGCUACAAGCAUAGGCUCGCGCAGCUGCAACCAGCCACACAAAUGCUGGAACAGGCGACGGCCGUGCUGCGACAACUUCGACGGCGAUCCAGCUUUGCUGGAACCAACUACUUUUUUUGUUGGAACCAUCAUUAAUUUUUGCUACCACCCACCCGCCCAAAUUUUUGCUACCAGGUGAUUUUUGCUGCAACCGAUGAACCAUUUUGCUACAACCGUUUCGAUUUUUUGUUACUACCGGUGUUUGUUGAUUUUUGCUACAUCCUCUUCUGUUUUUCCUGUCUUUUUCGCUACAACCAUAUUUUGAUUUUGCUGGAACUGAAGACAUUUUUUGCUACAUCCACCCACGACGGUGUUGCUCAACGGCGGCGAUGGCUUUUUUUUUUGCUACAACCGUCCCGGAUUUUUGCUACUACCGGAGAUGCCAUUUGCUACCACUGGAGUUUUUUCUACUACCAAAGUCUUCCUGGAAGCAUCAGGAGUUUUUGCUACCACCCUUUGUUUUUGUUUUGUUUUUGCUGGAACCAUCCUAAAAAUUUUCUACCACCGUCUUUUGAUUUUGCCGGAACCGGCAUUUUUCGCUUUGGUGUCGGCGGUGAAGGCGGGUGGUGUUUUGGUUCGCCGGCGGCGGUGAGGCUACGAGCACCGGCGACGAGCAGGGGCAACGGUGGUCCAAGCAAGAGCAACGCAGGCCAGCGUGCGGGAUCCCGCCAGCGGCGGUGCUUGCUUUUUUUCUCCUUUUUUUCCCGUGACGGGGGAUGACGAUAGAAGAUGCGGGGCAGAUCUGACGGUUACGCGCGUCCAGAUCGAGCGGCUCUGGUUUGACCGGUCGAAACGUUCCGCCGGUGCGCCGGCACAGAGUACUGCCCUUUUAUUUUAGUUUUUGUUCCUUGAACUGACAAUUUAUCGAUGAUUAAUUGGUUAUACAUGCCUAUGCAGUUGAUGAUAGUGUUGGAAAUAUGCUCUAGAGGCAAUAAUAAAAGUAUUAUUAUUAUAUUUCUUUGUUCAUGAUAAUUGUCUUUAUUCAUGCUAUAACUGUAUUAUCCGGAAAUCGUAAUACACGUGUGAAUACAUAGACCACAAUAUGUCCC
rnacentral:rRNA from 1 species